rnacentral:rRNA from 1 species
UUGAACGCUGGCGGCAUGCCUUACACAUGCAAGUCGAACGGUAACAGGUCUUCGGAUGCUGACGAGUGGCGACCGGGUGAGUAAUACAUCGGAACGUGCCCAGACGUGGGGGAUAACGAGGCGAAAGCUUUGCUAAUACCGCAUACGAUCUAAGGAUGAAAGCAGGGGACCGCAAGGCCUUGCGCGUUUGGAGCGGCCGAUGGCAGAUUAGGUAGUUGGUGGGAUAAAAGCUUACCAAGCCGACGAUCUGUAGCUGGUCUGAGAGGACGACCAGCCACACUGGGACUGAGACACGGCCCAGACUCCUACGGGAGGCAGCAGUGGGGAAUUUUGGACAAUGGGCGAAAGCCUGAUCCAGCAAUGCCGCGUGCAGGAUGAAGGCCUUCGGGUUGUAAACUGCUUUUGUACGGAACGAAAAGGCUCUGGCUAAUACCUGGGGCACAUGACGGUACCGUAAGAAUAAGCACCGGCUAACUACGUG